rnacentral:rRNA from 1 species
UACGUAGGGGGCGAGCGUUGUCCGGAUUUAUUGGGCGUAAAGAGCGUGUAGGCGGCCAGGUAGGUCUGCUGUGAAAACUCGAGGCUCAACCUCGAGACGCCGAUGGAAACCAUCUGGCUAGAGUCCGGAAGAGGAGAGUGGAAUUCCCGGUGUAGCGGUGAAAUGCGCAGAUAUCGGGAAGAACACCCGUGGCUAAGGCGGCUCUCUAGUACGGUACUGACGCUGAGACGCGAAAGCGUGGGGAGCGAACAGG